UACGUAGGCAGCGAGCGUUGUUCGGAGUUACUGGGCGUAAAGCGUGCGUAGGCGGUGUCCUAAGUCUGUUGUGAAAUCUCCCGGCUCAACUGGGAGGGUGCGGCGGAAACUGGGAGGCUAGAGUACGGGAGAGGUAAGCGGAAUUCCUGGUGUAGCGGUGAAAUGCGUAGAUAUCAGGAGGAACACCUGCGGUGUAGACGGCUUACUGGACCGUAACUGACGCUGAGGCACGAAAGCGUGGGUAGCAAACAGG
rnacentral:rRNA from 1 species